UACGUAGGGAGCGAGCGUUAUCCGGAUUUAUUGGGUGUAAAGGGUGCGUAGACGGGAAAUUAAGUUAGUUGUGAAAUCCCUCGGCUUAACUGAGGAACUGCAACUAAAACUGGUUUUCUUGAGUGUCGGAGAGGAAAGAGGAAUUCCUAGUGUAGCGGUGAAAUGCGUAGAUAUUAGGAGGAACACCGGUGGCGAAGGCGUCUUUCUGGACGAUAACUGACGUUGAGGCACGAAAGUGUGGGGAGCAAAC
rnacentral:rRNA from 1 species